GAUGAACGCUGGCGGCGUGCCUAAUACAUGCAAGUCGAGCGAACAGACGAGGACCUUGCUCCUCUGACGUUAGCGGCGGACGGGUGAGUAACACGUGGAUAACCUACCUAUAAGACUGGGAUAACUUCGGGAAACCGGUGCUAAUACCGGACAAUAUAUUGAACCGCAUGGUUCAAUAGUGAAAGACGGUUUUGCUGUCCUUUCUAGAUGGAUCCGCGCCGCUUUAGCUGUUUGGUAAGGUAACGGCUUACCAAGGCCACGAUGCGUAGCCGACCUGAGAGGGUGUACGCCGACACUGGAACUGAGACACGGUCCAGACUCCUACGGGAGGCAGAGGUAGGGAAGCGUCCGCAAUGGGCGAAAGCUUGACGGAGCAACGCCGCGCGAGUGAUGAAGGUCUUCGGAUCGUAAAACUCUGUUAUGGGGGAAAAACGAAUGUGUAAGUAACUAUGCACGUCUUGACGGUACCUAAUCAGAAAGCAACGGCUAACUACGUG
rnacentral:rRNA from 1 species